AUUGAACGCUGGCGGCAUGCCUAACACAUGCAAGUCGAACGGGGCAGCAAUGCCUAGUGGCGGACGGGUGAGGAAUACGUAGGAAUCUGCCCUUAAGUGGGGGAUAACCAGGGGAAACCCUGACUAAUACCCCAUGAUCUCUUCGGAGCAAAGAGGGGGACCGCAAGGCCUCUCGCUUCUGGAUGACCCUCCGUUUGAUUAGCUAGUUGGGAGGGUAAAGGCCUACCAAGGCGACGAUCAGUAACUGGGCUGAGAGGAUGAUCAGUCACACCGGAACUGGGACACGGUCCGGACUCCUACGAGAGGCAGCAGUGGGGAAUAUUGGACAAUGGGCGCAAGCCUGAUCCAGCAAUGCCGCGUGUGUGAAGAAGGCCUUCGGGUUGUAAAGCACUUUAGCCUGGAAAGAAAAAACUUUGGUUAACACCCAAAGUCUUGACGGUACCAGGAGAAUAAGCACCGGCUAACUCUGUGCCAGCCGCCGCCGUAAUAC
rnacentral:rRNA from 1 species